AGUCUCCGUCUAUGUUGGUCCCACUCGCUGUUUCCUUUGGGGUUCUCCUCCUGCUCUGCUGUGUGGCUGCUCUUAUCGUGUGCAAGAUCAAACGUAACAUAAGACCAGCUGUGGCAGACAAAGGGGAAAAGCCCCCAGCAGCCAAUGAACCGACGUUACUGCCCCCAGCAGCCAAUGAACCGACCUACGAAGAAGUGACCAAUGACAGACCAAUGAGCGACGCCAGUGCGCUGGAGCCGAGUGUCUGUUUGUACUCAGUAGUGGAU